GGACAGUGAGACUGGAGAUGCGCAUUCAAGAGACCUCGCCAUUUUUUUCUUUCACUCUUUGAAUGAAUACAACGUUGUCCGGUUGGAAUAUUAUCGCUAUUUUACGAGAAAAAUAGCAUAAAAAUUGAUUUUAAACAGCGUUUGACAUGCUUCUAAGUACGGUAAAGGAAUAUUUUGAAAUGUUUUGUUACGAAAUGCGCUCGCGAGUUACCCAUCGGAUAGUGACCUGAACGCACAAACAAAACGGAGGUAUUUGGAUAUAACUAAGGAUUAUUUGAAACCAAAGCAACAUUUGUUGUUGAAGUAGAAGUCCUGGGAGUGCAUUCUGAUGAAGAACAGCAAAGGUCCCCAGGUCUCCACCGGCGCCACGCUCUGACAUAAGUGCACCAUCAAGGUGACAUUUGACCAACUGUGAGAUAAGCAUGAAGAAUGAGAACACAGACAAUAUGGAGGAUGAAUUAUUCAUUCAGGUAUACUACAGCAGCUGUCGUCAAACCCUCCAUCACUACAAGAAUGACUCAUUGUCACUCUAUCACCAUAUAACCCAUAUUCACUCAAACAGGAAGUGGACACCUUUAAGGGAGGGACAGGAGGAGGGAUGACUGUAGCAAGGUGAGCUCCCACAGUAGCCUAGUUCUAAUGAUUCUACCUAGUUUUAAAUGCCCUGAGGAUUCAAAAGGUGGCUAUGGGCACACUAAAAAAUACAUUAUACACGCAUCUGCCACAACAUCAAUCGAUGGGAAUAAACAAAGGAAAUGCAAGACGAUGGCUUCCAUCUACAGAGAGCAUGAAAAAGAAUGCCAAUGCAACACCAACACUACACAGACUAUUUUUAGAACACGUAAUGUGUUUCUCAUGUUCUAUCAGAAUAGAUCACCUUCC
rnacentral:lncRNA from 1 species